UGAGAGUCGGAGCCACCAGAACUUUCUUUUUCAUUGAUUUCGGUCCCGACAAAACCAGACUGCUGGGAGGAGCUGCAGACAGAUUAUGUGUACUGUGAUCAGUUCUUUGAGGAAAGCAUGAAUGUUAUAAACCAAGGAUCCAUCAAACCUUCAGGAGCAGAUCUUCUAUCUGACGUCUCGCUGUUGAUUCCCUCCAAAUGUUCGUCCACCAUUGACCUGCGAUCAGGAACAAACACAACUGAAUAGAAUCAAGAACUUGGAGGAAUUAAGUCUUUACAGGAAACUGAAAAACGUCCUCAUUGAACUGCCAAGAUCCCUUCACGACAAACGAUUCCACAACCGAAAACACGCAGAUGACACCCCCGGCUGAAAAUAUGAAGCUUGUGUAGCUGGAAUUAGCUUUGAAUGGCUGACUUGGCAAACACAGCUUGGGUGGAGACAACGAUGUGAAUUCGAGAUAGUUUUACGCUGAUGUGGACCUGCGACACAACCUCAUCCUGAAUAUCCAACUGGAUUGAAUUGUCUUGAUCUUAGACAACCCCAAAACUAAUAAGUAGCUUGAUGAUUGUGAGGUUAAAGCCACUUUAGAUUGAAAUAAAUAAAUAAAAACAG